AUUUCAGACCGGCCAUUCAUCGGGCUUUGCUAACUGGUUUUUAAUGUUGUUAGCUGCCCAUUGAAGGGUCUUUUUGAAUC
rnacentral:pre_miRNA from 1 species